rnacentral:rRNA from 1 species
GCCAGCAGCCUUAUCAUCCUGCAAUUCACAACUAGUAACCCACUGAAGCUCAGCAGGUGUGAGCCUGAUCAGGACCUGGGUGGGAGACCUCCUGGAAAAAAAUUAAGGUUGCUGCUGGAA